CAUCCUACUAGUGGGAGGUUUAUAUUUAUCUUGUAUUCAGAAUCCGGAGGGAUUUGUUCAAAAACGUGCCUAAGUUUCUCUUCAAAUAUUGAAGGCACAGAUAGAGACAAUAAGGAAGUUCAGAUUUAUGCUAGCUUUACGGUGCCAGAUUAGAGUUUCAUCUGUGUGUGGGGAGCUGAGAUCAAGCUACAGCUGGAACCGGCUGUGGGGUAUCACCUCAAUGACAAAUAGUUUCCUUCCUUUGUUUGUUGUGGCAACAUGAUGUGAGCUGGGACAGUGCCCAUGGUUGCUAACUGAGUACCAAAUGUGCUGUUUGAAAAGAGCAGGAUAGGAGGAAUAAGACCAGUAUCAAAUCUACCAAGAUGAACUGGAUAAUCUCAAUUGAUGUGUCUUCAAGUUUGCUGAUACGUUCUUCUGAUUACUCAUAUCCACUGUUGAUCCUGUGAUAAGCAAAAUAACGGUCCCCGAAGAUGACCAUAUCCUACUCCACAAUCUGCGAAUACAUUGUUAUAUUGCAAGGAGGAAUUAAGAUUGCAGAUAGAAUCAAGUGAGGAAAAGAACAUUCAGAGCCGCUCAAUGAUUUUCCCAAGGUCUCAUGGCAUGAAGGUUGCAAGGCUUGGAGUCCAAGGUUUGGGGUCUGAGGAUUCAGAAAGCUACUGUCUUCUCAAGUUCUCAUAAACCUCAUAAACAUCUCUUCAGGAUGUCUUAUUUACUAAAUUCUAGAAUGAUUUCCUCAGCAGCUGAAGCACUUAUAUCUUCUCAUGGCCUUGAACAGAAGUCCAGAGCUCCAGAGCUUCGCUCCAGUACCAAAAGCCCUCAUGAAAGAGUAAUAUAAACCAGCCCAACAGCAUUGGAACUUUGUGCUUUAAAAUGGUGCCAGCUACUCCCCAACAGCAGCUCAAGAAAGAGGAGAUGAAGAACAAAGGCAAAAAGAAGUUAAGUGACUUGACCAAGAUCACAAAGCCAGGUUCCCAUCCAAGAAGAUGUCUGGAAUGGGGGAGGAACUCCAACACAGAGUUGGAUUACAUGAAUCCCAGUCUGUCUAACCCUACUGGAAUCAUAGAAACCACAGCUGGAAGACCCCAGAAGAGGAUCUGCAGAAGAGUCACACAUAAGGCCACAUCAAAAGAAUCAGUUUGUGGAAUCUACCAAGACAUGUUGUCAAGGUGCCAUCUGCACAGAAGCCUCAUGUGAUGCUUGCCAGAUGGAGCACAUCUCGAGCAUUUUGUCUAAAGCAAAUAUGUAUUUGUCAGAGAAUAAUUAAUCUCAAUUGGCUCUUGGGCAUCAGGAAGAAAAAUAAUGGAACAGGGAGGAAAGUGUGUCCAGGCCAACCUCGUCGGUUAACGUUGGCUUUCUGGAGACGCAGACUCUGUAAUGCUUGAAUGCUCAAUCCACAUGUAAUUUAUAUUAUAGUUAUUGAUUGCUCCUGCUACCUCAGAAUUAUGGAAACAGACUUGGAAGUCACCAGGAAAAAAGGCUGUCAUCAACCCCCCUCCUCCCCUGCCCUGAAGAACACACAAGCCCUGUGUAAGAGUCCAUCAGCAGUGGCUACAUGGGAAGAAAGGGGUGGCACUGGAGUCCUUCUGGGGACUGGACAUCCCAGCUGAGGACUGGAAACAUUACCCGAGAACGAAGUGGAGCCUGAGUCAAAGGCAACGGCUGGUCUGAGACAUGCCAGGCUGGAGGAAUAAGCAGAAAGAGAACAUCAGAGCAUUGGAAGCCAAGGGUGAAAGCAAAAGAGAUGUGGCCAACUGGAAAAUAAAGUCUCAGUCCUUCAAGCAGAUGAAAAUGAUAAUGACACCAGAUUGCUUGAAAUCUUACCAAGUAUCAGGCACUAUGCUAAGUGCUUUUCAUGCAUCAUCUCAUUUAGUCCUCAAAACAUCUCCAAGGGGUAUUAUUAUCCCCUUCUUAGAGAUGAGGACACUCUGCUUCACAGAGCAACUUUAGAUGCUUUGGGCCAUGAAUAACCAACACUGAACAAAAGUAUCAGGAGGGCUUCAUCCUCUCCUAUAACAACACGUCUAGAGACAGGUCAAUUUGGAAAUUUUAAUUCAAUGGCACAACUAUGUCCCAUGUUUCUUCUCUGCCCAUUCAGCCAAUCAAGGAAAUUGUUCCUCACAAUCACAAGAUGGCUGCAGCACCUCCAGGACAAGUUUUGUGGAGGAAAAGAGACCAAGAGCAAAUGGGUCUACUAAUAAAUAAGAAGUCCAAAAACUGCACCCCUUUUCUCUAGCAUCCUUCAACCCCCAUGGCAAGAUGAUAAGGAUCAAUGGAAACCAAGCUAUUCACAACAAGAGUUGUCACACUAUUCAUAAAAAGCCUACAUGUAUGAUAUUUGUUGCCAUGUUGAGCCUCACAUUCCAGUGGUGCUAUGGAGUUGUUACUGAUUUUACAGAAUCUCUGAGUCCUAAUGGAAAUCCACUCUGUGAACAUGAAGUCUUCUUCGCUGAACAGCCUUCCUCCUGGUUCCCCAGCAGUACAUGGUUAUGACAAAGAAACCAACUGGCUCAAGCCUUGGUCUGUGUUGUUUCUGGAAUUCCAGCAGAACUCGGCCAACUGACGAAGAAGCAGAAGCACAAAGAAAUUAACAAGCUAUACAAGGUCUUAGCUUGUCUCUUGGGGAGCUGGUCUGUGCUCCUGAUCAGUUGACUGUGAUGCUUCUACUGAGUAAAAUACAGUCAUUAUCUGCACAGAGGGCAGGCUGGUGGGGGACAAAGAUCCCUCCAUAGAUAUUUAUAAUAAAAGGUGGAAAUGUAAUAAUCAAGAUAUGGCCAAAUGUCAUGGGAACCCAGGUAGGAUAUGCCUGAACCAGCUGGAGGAGAGAGCGAUCUGAGAACACCUCCUGCAAGGGGAGUUCCUGAGCUGAGCCUCAAAAAAACAAGAAAGCAUGAAAGA